rnacentral:rRNA from 1 species
UGGGGAAUAUUGGACAAUGGGGGCAACCCUGAUCCAGCAAUGCCGCGUGUGUGAAGAAGGCCUGAGGGUUGUAAAGCACUUUUAGUGGGGAGGAGGAUUUUCUGGUUAAGAGCUGGGGGAUUGGACGUUACUCACAGAAAAAGCACCGGCUAACUCCGUGCCAGCAGCCGCGGUAAUACGGAGGGUGCGAGCGUUAAUCGGAAUAACUGGGCGUAAAGGGUGCGUAGGUGGUUAAUUAAGUUAUAGGUGAAAUCAUCGGGCUUAACCUGAUGCGGAAUUAUAAGACUGAUUAACUCGAGUAUGGGAGAGGGUAGUGGAAUUUCCGGUGUAGCGGUGAAAUGCGUAGAGAUCGGAAGGAACACCAGUUGCGAAGGCGGCUACCUGGCCUAAUACUGACACUGAGGCACGAAAGCGUGGGGAGCAAACAGG